GUGACAAAUCCUCACUGACUGCCAUUUUUGGUCAUUGUGGGGAUUUGCAUUGUGUCUGUUACUCCAGUCUUUUUUAAAUUAUGCUGGUGAAUAAAGAUAUUCCUUCCUGCCUUUCCCACCUCCCUUGCACAUGCUGGUGAACCACUAUCGAUGGUCUCCCCAAGGCCACUGUCCCUUCUCUUGUCAACAGUGAUCUCAUUUCUCCUAAAUGAAUUCACCCCUUGUCUGGUCUCAGUCCUAUGGUUUUGGAGGACUUCCCCUGCCCCAGAUUCUAGGUGCAGGCACUGAUUUGAUGGUCUUGAACCCCUGACCUCAGACGAUCCGCCCACCUUAGCCUCCCAAAGUGCUGGGAUUACAGGUGUGAGCCACCACGCCCGGCCAGAGUUCAGCAGCCUCUUAGGGGUGCUUGGUUAAAAUGUAAAUUCCCCCCACUCUUCACUUCAACUCCUAGGGCCCACAGUCCAGGGGCUCUGG
rnacentral:lncRNA from 1 species